rnacentral:rRNA from 1 species
GACAGAGGAUGCAAGCGUUAUCCGGAAUGAUUGGGCGUAAAGCGUCUGUAGGUGGCUUUUCAAGUCCGCCGUCAAAUCCCAGGGCUCAACCCUGGACAGGCGGUGGAAACUACCAAGCUGGAGUACGGUAGGGGCAGAGGGAAUUUCCGGUGUAGCGGUGAAAUGCGCAGAUAUCGGGAGGAACACCAGUAGCGAAGGCGGCUCGCUGGGCCAUUCCUGACGCUGAGACGCGAAAGCUAGGGGAGCGAACAGG